GCUCAAGGGAUAAUUUUCUGCAUUGAUGAUUUAACAGGUGCUCUACAAUCCACACAUCAAUUAGUAUUAUCCAGUAAAGACUUUCCUGAUAUUGAAACAGCUGCUGGAGCCGUAUCAAAUUUGAAAUGGACUCCUGAUGGAGGAGCUCUUGCUAUGACAUGGGAAAAAGAUGGAUUUGCUAUUUGGAGUGUGUUUGGUGCCUUACUGAUGUGUAGUCUUGGUUGAGAUUAUGGGUCUGCUGAUGUGAUGAAAAAUGUUUCCCUUUUAAUAUCUAUGGUUUGGUUGCCACUAUUUCUAAGAGAUGGAGAAAAGCAAGGAUCUCACAACUUUAUGUCUAAGAGAAUAAUGCUUCCAGUUCCUGUUUAUAUUUAUCCUUUAG